rnacentral:rRNA from 1 species
CGUAGGUGGCAAGCGUUGUCCGGAAUUAUUGGGCGUAAAGCGCGCGCAGGCGGUUCCUUAAGUCUGAUGUGAAAGCCCCCGGCCCAACCGGGGAAGGUCAUUGGAAACUGGGGAACUUGAGUGCAGAAGAGAAGAGCGGAAUUCCACGUGUAGCGGUGAAAUGCGUAGAGAUGUGGAGGAACACCAGUGGCGAAGGCGGCUCUUUGGUCUGUAACUGACGCUGAGGCGCGAAAGCGUGGGGAGCAAACAGGAUUAGAUACCCUGGUAGUCCACGCCGUAAACGAUGAGUGCUAAGUGUUAGAGGGUUUCCGCCCUUUAGUGCUGCAGCUAACGCAUUAAGCACUCCGCCUGGGGAGUACGGCCGCAAGGCUG